UGGGGAAUAUUGCGCAAUGGGCGAAAGCCUGACGCAGCAACGCCGCGUGGGGGAUGAAGGUUCUCGGAUUGUAAACCCCUUUCGAUCGGAACGAAUCUCCUCCUGGUAAACAAUCAGGAGGAUCGACGGUACCGGGAGAAGAAGCCACGGCUAACUCUGUACCAGCAGCCGCGGUAAGACAGAGGUGGCGAGCGUUGUUCGGAUUUAUUGGGCGUAAAGCGAACGCAGGUGGUUUGGUAUGUCAGAGGUGAAAGACCACAGCUUAACUGUGGCACUGCCUUUGAUACUGCCUUUCUAGAGUGCAUGAGGGGGAAGCGGAAUUCCGAGUGUAGAGGUGAAAUUCGUAGAUAUUCGGAGGAACACCGGUGGCGAAGGCGGCUUCCUGGCAUGUAACUGACACUCAUGUUCGAAAGCGUGGGUAGCAAACAGGAUUAGAUACCCUGGUAGUCCACGCCCUAAACGAUGGGCACUAGGUGUGGGAGGUAUCGACCCCUUCCGUGCCGCGGCUAACGCAUUAAGUGCCCCGCCUGGGGAGUACGGCCGCAAGGUUG
rnacentral:rRNA from 1 species